rnacentral:piRNA from 1 species
ACCUUGGGAGCCCUGUUAGACUCU